GUCAAGUUUAACUAAGCUCAGUCACACUGAGAACCAGGAACCAAACCCUGUGUGAUCCGGUAAUUUUGUAACAAAGACAAAGCACAUCAGGAAAAAGAUAAAGGACAAAUUUAUUCAUCAGACUUCAACAAGAAUAAAAGAUCAUCAGAAUGAGUACUUCCCAGAAACAUCAGAUGUUUGUUUCCUCUCCAAUGGACAUCCAGAAUGUUAUUAAUGUCCCAGGCAUUGGUCCUGCUUAUGCUAAAAUCUUAGGACAACAAGGUUAUAUGCAGGCCAGCCAACUAUAUGCAAUGUAUGUUCAGGAUCUAAGAAACCAACAACAAUUUGUUCUCAACCUUCAACAAUUGACUGGGGGAAAACCAUACUUUCUGAAGCAGGCAUUCUUUGCUUUGGAUGAAUGGGACAGACAGUUUGGCAGAUAAACAUUUUUAAAUUAAUUUUUCAACUAUUUACUAUCAACUUAAGGAGAUGCAUGCCGGCCCAGACUGGUUACCUUUAUUCCUUGAUUCACCGAUGAAGACAACUUUGACAAUUUCUGGAACCUUUCGGACAUGUUGUAUAAAUACUGAAUCUACAGCUAACAGUUGGUUUCAUGGAACCAAAAGAACCAUAAACAAUUUGAUUCAAUUUUAGUCAUACCAGACUGAAUUUACUAGAACUUUGAAUUUCAAUGAACAAUCUAGGCUAAUGUCUAGCCACCCACGAGGCUUGCCAAGCUGUUUAAAUAAUUAAAAUUAACUAACCAGAGUGGAGAAAUAUUGCAAUACACGAGUUAUAGUGGUGGAAUCUGUUUCUCUGAUGAUUUAACAAAGUUUAUCCUAACUUUUCAAAGAUUUGCAGAAAGUUGUGUUCUUUAUAUGUGAUGUCAUCAGACAUGGUCGUCCAUUUUCACAAUAUCAAAAUAGAAAAUUCAGAAGAAACCAAGAAAAUUUGAUGUCAUAAUUGAAUUUCGACCAAUCAUUAGCUGAGAUCAAAGUUUUCUGUAGACAUGAGAAAUAAUUUUCUCAAAUCUAUCGAGAAACAUAAAAUAAAGCAUGAAAAUAAGAGAAAAGUCAUUUACUGUUUAUUUCAAAUUUUACAGACCAUUUGAAAUUCUUGGAUAAGUCAACUAUUGUCAACUUAAGUCUUGGCUUAAAUUUUAUCAGAUUUAAGUUUAAAGUCAGUUUAUAAUAUGUUGGUUCCAUUUUUAAAUAUCUAGUAUUCUACAAUGUAUUAGCUGAGGAACCACAGCUCUUCAAGAUAUCAUGAGGACCUAAGAGCUAGUCGGUUCGAUUCAGGAGCAAGUAAGGUAUAUGUUGGAUGCAUUAUAUGAAUUAUGUUGGUAUAACAAAGUUUAAUAAACAAUAAUUUUUCAUAA